AAAAACAGAAAAACAUACAGAUGAGUAACGAAGAAGUCUUAAUGGAAUCCCUUUGAGAUCAGUCUUCAUUUUAGUAUUCAACUGAAUUUUUCAUCUUCCUUUGAACAUAGCAAGAAAUUUUUCAUUUAAGCUUUUAAGCAAGGUUCGCUGUACCGGUAUCGGACGGCGUGCUGGUGCCGGACCGGUACGGUAUGAUGCCGGUACCGUACCGUACCGACACAUGGUAUGCCUAAACGUACCGGUCUGAUAUUGGUACACAAUAUUUUUUUCGAUUUUCAAAUUUUUUUUUUUUGAUCUUUGAAGUUAAUAAUUGAUAAAUACAACAUCAAUAUGGCAUUAUAUUGCAUAUUAUUAACAUAUUUGGGUUCAAUUUGGAGUUAAGUUACGGUACAAGGACUCUUGAUCCAAAAUUUCAAACAUAUAUUUAUUUACAUUAUAUUUCAACUAUAUCAUCUUAAAACUAAAGAAAAAAUAUAUAAAAUACGCAUUAAAAUGUAUCUAAAUAUUUAAGUACAAAGCGCAAUAAUUGAUAUACGAACUGUUGGUGCAGAAUUCCGCCGAAGCCGGAGUUGAGAUGACCGCGGCCACCGCCGAGACCUGCAAGGGAAGUCUAAACCAGAGUUGGAGGUGCUUCGGC
rnacentral:lncRNA from 1 species